rnacentral:rRNA from 1 species
GACGAACGCUGGCGGCGUGCUUAACACAUGCAAGUCGAACGGUGAAGCUCCAGCUUGCUGGUGUGGAUCAGUGGCUAACGGGUGAGUAACACGUGAGCAACCUACCCCUGACUCUGGAAUAAGCGCUGGAAACGGCGUCUACUACUGGAUACGAGAAGGGUCCGCAUGGGCACUUUCUGGAAAGUUUUUCGGGUCGGGCUGGGCUCGCGGGCUAUCAGCUUGUUGGUGAGGUAAUGGCUCACCCAGGCGACGACGGGUAGCCGGCCUGAGAGGGGGACCAGGCACAAUGGGACUGAGACACGGACCAGACUCCAACGGGAGGCAGCAGUGGGGAAUAUUGCACAAUGGGCGAAAGCCUGAUGCAGCGACGCCGCGUGAGGGAUGACGGCCUUCGGGUGGUAAACCUCUUUCAGCAGGGAAGAAGCGAAAGUGACGGUACCUGCAGAAGAAGCACCGGCUAACUACGUG